AAGUCAGAUCUGAAGAGAGAAGUAGUGGUACUCCAAUUAGCAGUGCCAGCAAACGUAAAUGCAUAGACAUUGAAGAUGAUGCUGCUUGUUCUCGCUUUCCUUUGUCCGAAAAAAAAUUCCAAUACAAGACUCUUUCCAUCCUAACUGAGAUGCGAGACAUGCUCAAGAAGUUAGUGGGGGAGCAGGAAAUAGAUAUAGAAGAAGAAUACAGAAUAUGCGACACACACGAGGAGCUGUCGUCGCUAGAGGUGAAGCUGGGAGAUGCUUCCUCGAACAAGAGCAUGCUUCAACAGUUAUCAAGAAUUGGCGGUAUCAAUUAUAAAGACAACACGC